rnacentral:rRNA from 1 species
UAAACAUUGACAGUUAAUUACACCUACUGUCCGCCUGGGAACUACGAGCGCUAGCUUAAAACCCAAAGGACUUGGCGGUGCUUUAGACCCACCUAGAGGAGCCUGUUCUAGAACCGAUAAUCCCCGUUAAACCUCACCCUUCCUUGUUCUCUCCCGCCUAUAUACCACCGUCGUCAGCUUACCCUGUGAAGGCCCAAUAGUAAGCACAAUCGGCAAUGCCCAAAACGUCAGGUCGAGGUGUAGCGAAUGGAAGGGGAAGAAAUGGGCUACAUUUACUGAUACAGUAAACACGGAUGAUCACCCUGCAACGAGUAUCUGAAGGAGGAUUUAGCAGUAAGCAAAAAACAGAGUGUUUUGCUGAAAUUGGC